rnacentral:rRNA from 1 species
GAUGAACGCUGGCGGCGUGCCUAAUACAUGCAAGUCGAGCGAACAGACGAGGAGCUUGCUCCUCUGACGUUAGCGGCGGACGUGUGAGUAACACGUGGAUAACCUACCUAUAAGACUGGGAUAACUUCGGGAAACCGGAGCUAAUACCGGAUAAUAUAUUGAACCGCAUGGUUCAAUAGUGAAAGACGGUUUUGCUGUCACUUAUAGAUGGAUCCGCGCCGCAUUAGCUAGUUGGUAAGGUAACGGCUUACCAAGGCGACGAUGCGUAGCCGACCUGAGAGAGUGAUCGGCCACACUGGAACUGAGACACGGUCCAGACUCCUACGGGAGGCAGCAGUAGGGAAUCUUCCGCAAUGGGCGAAAGCCUGACGGAGCAACGCCGCGUGAGUGAUGAAGGUCUUCGGAUCGUAAAACUCUGUUAUUAGGGAAGAACAAAUGUGUAAGUAACUAUGCACGUCUUGACGGUACCUAAUCAGAAAGCCACGGCUAACUACGUG